UUUGCAGGAAACGGAUGCAUCUGUGGAAGAGUCCGGCAAGGCCAGAACCACUCGUGGUGCUGCCAAGCAAGGUCCUGCAGGAAUGAUGUCAUGCUCUCAAGCUCAUCCUUCAUGUACUGCAGCUCGCCUCGGAUGCCUCCAAGGAGCUGUGCUUCUUGGAUGAGCACCGUACCCAGCUUACAUACUAGUAUGUUAAUGGCACCCCCACCAGCGCUAACAACAGGAUGCUCCAUCUCUCUACCAAGUACCAAAAGGAGGAUAAGAGUUUCUGCUCUUGUCUGUUUGAAUGGGGCUGGGCAAUGUAUGUGGGGGGCACAGGAAAUGCUCAUCACCAUCCUCCAAGCGAAGAGUCCAGGCCACACACGUAUACCAAUAUAGUCCACACAAGCAUCUUAUGACUUUUCAAUGAUAUGUCGCUGUCUUAUUACUGCCCAAUGGUUCAAAGGCCGGAGCAGCUUCCAGGAAAUGUCCAAUUCACGUUGUCUGACUUGAAUGGCUAUGAGAUUUCACCACAUGGAGGCAGCUGGCUCGCUCAAUCUUGCCCCUCAAUUAUUUAUCCAAUCAUACAUCAUGAUGAUAACAACAGGUCAUUUGAGUCAUGGAACCAAUGAC